rnacentral:misc_RNA from 1 species
AAGUGAAUUAUUUCCUUCAAAACCUUUACAUGUAUCUAUUUAUUUAGCAUGCUUGGUUCAACGGGCAAACUCUCCAUCCCCUAUUGUUGACGCAUUCUAUGGAAUCAAAUGGGCUCAUGAUCUUGUGGGAUUCAAUUCUCCGACUGACAAUCAGUUUGUUAAAAACAUUAUGGAAGGUGGGAAACGUAUAGUGGCAAAACCUGUUCAAAAGAAAGAACCAAUAACUGUUGAAAAUUUACGUUGUAUGUAUUUGAAACUGUUUGAAUGUAAUAAUCUUUAUAAUCAAAGAAUCAUUUGUAUGGUCUUGUUGGCAUUCGCUGGAUUUUUACGUAGCAGCGAACUCAUAAAUAUCAAGAGAUCUGAUAUUCAAUUUUUACCUGAUCAUAUUGAAAUAUUCAUCGAGUCUAGUAAGACUGAUAUCUACAGAGACGGUACAAGAGUUGUUAUAGCAAGAACAUUUUCAUAUAUGUGUCCUGUUUCUAAUUUUGAAUUGUAUCUUCGUUUAGCUGGGAUUCAAGACGAUUCAGAGGAAUAUGUAUUUUGUGCUAUUUCGAAUUUAUGGACUUCACAGUUUGCGGUCAGGUGGAGCGACUGCGUCGGCAGUGAGGGGAAUUCCGGACAGGAUAUUCAAGAGACAUGGACGUUGGCGUUCGGAAUCUGCUAAGGAUGGAUAUGUCCAGGAUCCGCUUAGUGAACGUUUAAGUGUUUCCAAAGAACUUGGUUUAUAAUAGUUGUAAUCAUGUUGUUUAUUGAUUAUAUUGUAUUUUUUUUUUGUAUUGAUUUUUCUGAAUAUAUAUGAAGUUGGAUUACGUUAUUAUAUCCUAUAUUAAUAGUAGCAUUAGUUCCCCGUUCUUUAUAUUUACAUAGCUGCAGCGUGUCGUUGCUAAUUCCACACAAUGUGUUGUUAUUUACUAGUAUCAUAGUAUUCAGCUUUCAUUUGGAAGGUAAUGAAUGGAUUUAAAGGAGAAAUAUGAUUUCUUUCGUUUGAGGGACGAAUUAGACAGAAAUCAAUUUCUACUUGGUAUAAUAAUGAAUUAAUUAUCCGGAUAUAUAAGGUUUUCAUUCGAAUACCUGUUUGUGUCACCUGGUUCUUAAGAACCGGUUUAUUAGCAAGGCUAUAUAAAGAAUUACUCAGGUGUUAAAUACCAGUUUAGGACGACACGUACAGCGGAAAGUUUAAAUUUUCAGAAUUGUUUUAUUAAAAUCAAUAAAUCAUGUGAUCCAACUUUAUGCCAUAAUUAUGUGUGUGUACAUUUAAUAUGCCAAAUAUUAAAUAGCUGCAGCGUGUCGUUGCUAAUUCC